rnacentral:rRNA from 1 species
GAUGAACGCUGGCGGCGUGCUUAAUACAUGCAAGUCGAGCGAACAGACGAGGAGCUUGCUCCUCUGACGUUAGCGGCGGACGGGUGAGUAACACGUGGAUAACCUACCUAUAUGACUGGGAUACCUUCGGGACACCGGAGCUAAUACCGGAUAAUAUUUUUAACCGUAUGGUUCAAUAGUGAAAGACGGUUUUGCUGUCACCUCUCGAUGUAUCCGCGCGGCAUUAGCUUGUUGGUAAGGUAACGGCUUACCAAGGCAACGACGCGUAGCCGACCUGAGAGGGGGAUCGGCCCCACUGGAGCUGAGACACGGUCCAGGCUCCUACGGGAGGCAGCAGUAGGGAAGCUUCCGCAAUGGGCGAAAGCCUGACGAAGGGACGCAGCGUGAGUGAGGAAGGUCUUGGGGUCGUAGAACUCUGUUAUGAGGGAAAAACAAAUGUGUAAGGAACUAUGCACGUCGUGACGGUACCUAGUCAAGAAGCCACGGCUAACUACGUG